rnacentral:rRNA from 1 species
GGGGAAUCUUCCGCAAUGGGCGCAAGCCUGACGGAGCAAGACCGCGUGAGGGAAGAAGGUCUGUGGAUUGUAAACCUCUUUUGAUAGGGAAGAAGACAGUGACGGUACCUAUCGAAUCAGCCUCGGCUAACUCCGUGCCAGCAGCCGCGGUAAUACGGAGGAGGCAAGCGUUAUCCGGAAUUAUUGGGCGUAAAGAGUCCGUAGGUGGGUAACCAAGUCAGCUGUUAAAUAGUGAAGCUUAACUUCAUAGAGGCGGCUGAAACUGGUUGUCUAGAGUGUGGUAGGGGUAGAGGGAAUUUCCAGUGUAGCGGUGAAAUGCGUAGAUAUUGGAAAGAACACCGGUGGCGAAAGCGCUCUACUGGACUUAAACUGACACUGAGGGACGAAAGCUAGGGGAGCGAAAGGGAUUAGAUACCCCCGUAGUCCUAGCCGUAAACGAUGGAUACUAGGUGUUGCCCGUAUCGACCCGGGCAGUGCCGUAGCUAACGCGUUAAGUAUCC